UACGGAGGAUCCAAGCGUUAUCCGGAUUUAUUGGGUUUAAAGGGUGCGUAGGCGGCUUUUUAAGUCAGGGGUGAAAGACGGUAGCUCAACUAUCGCAGUGCCCUUGAUACUGAAGAGCUUGAAUACACUAGAGGUAGGCGGGAAUGUGACAAGUAGCGGUGAAAAUGCAUAGAUAUGUCACAGAACACCAAUUGCGAAGGCAGCUUACUAUGGUGUCAUUGACGCUGAGGCACGAAAAGCGUGGGGGAUCAAAACAGG
rnacentral:rRNA from 1 species